GGGCCGGUAGCUCAGUUGGUCAGAGCAGCGGACUCAUAAUCCGUUGGACGGAGGUUCGAAUCCUCCCCGGCCCA
rnacentral:tRNA from 1 species